rnacentral:rRNA from 1 species
UACGGGGGGAGCAAGCGUUGUUCGGAUUUACUGGGCGUAAAGGGCUCGUAGGCGGUGUGUCACGUCGGCCGUGAAAACCUGCAGCUUAACUGUGGGCGUGCGGUCGAUACGGGCAUCACUGGAGUUCGGCAGGGGAGACUGGAAUUCCUGGUGUAGCGGUGAAAUGCGCAGAUAUCAGGAGGAACACCGGUGGCGAAGGCGGGUCUCUGGGCCGAUACUGACGCUGAGGAGCGAAAGCGUGGGGAGCAAACAGG